AGCUUUAUAGUCAAUAAUGAUAUAAAAUUGCAAAUUUUAAGGAGUAUAAAUAAAUGCUAAGGCUU
rnacentral:tRNA from 1 species